rnacentral:tRNA from 1 species
GGCGGGGUAGCUCAGUCUGGUAGAGCAGUCGGCUCAUACCCGGCGUGUCACAGGUUCAAAUCCUGUCCCCGCUACCA